ACGCUGGCGGCAGGCCUAACACAUGCAAGUCGAGCGGUAGAGAGAAGCUUGCUUCUCUUGAGAGCGGCGGACGGGUGAGUAAUGCCCAGGAAUCUGCCUGGUAGUGGGGGAUAACGUUCGGAAACGGACGCUAAUACCGCAUACGUCCUACGGGAGAAAGCAGGGGACCUUCGGGCCCUUGCGCUAUCAGAUGAGCCUAGGUCGGAUUAGCUAGUUGGUGAGGUAAUGGCUCACCAAGGCGACGAUCCGUAACUGGUCUGAGAGGAUGAUCAGUCACACUGGAACUGAGACACGGUCCAGACUCCUACGGGAGGCAGCAGUGGGGAAUAUUGGACAAUGGGCGAAAGCCUGAUCCAGCCAUGCCGCGUGUGUGAAGAAGGUCUUCGGAUUGUAAAGCACUUUAAGUUGGGAGGAAGGGCAGUUACCUAAUACGUGAUUGUUUUGACGUUACCGACAGAAUAAGCACCGGCUAACUCUGUGCCAGCAGCCGCGGUAAUACAGAGGGUGCAAGCGUUAAUCGGAAUUACUGGGCGUAAAGCGCGCGUAGGUGGUUUGUUAAGUUGGAUGUGAAAUCCCCGGGCUCAACCUGGGAACUGCAUUCAAAACUGACUGACUAGAGUAUGGUAGAGGGUGGUGGAAUUUCCUGUGUAGCGGUGAAAUGCGUAGAUAUAGGAAGGAACACCAGUGGCGAAGGCGACCACCUGGACUGAUACUGACACUGAGGUGCGAAAGCGUGGGGAGCAAAC
rnacentral:rRNA from 1 species